rnacentral:rRNA from 1 species
GUAAGCUACUAAGAGUAAGUGGUGGAUGCCUUGGCUAGUAGAGGCGAUGAAAGACGUGCCAGGCUGCGAUAAGUCUCGGGGAGCCGUCAAGGGGCUUUGAUCCGGGAAUUUCUGAAUGGGGCAACCCAGUUAAGCGCGAGCUUAACUACCUAAUAUGGAGCGAACGAGGGGAAUUGAAACAUCUUAGUACCCUCAGGAAAAGAAAUCAAAAGAGAUUACGCCAGUAGCGGCGAGCGAACGCGUAAGAGGGCAAACCGUUAGUUUACUAACGGGGUUGUAGGACUGCGAUAUAGACUAAACUUAGCUAAUAGAAUAAUCUGGAAAGAUUAAGCAUAGAGGGUGAUACUCCCGUAUAUGAAAGCUUUGUUUUACUUAGCGGUAUCCUGAGUAGGGCGGAACACGUGAUAUUCUGUCUGAAGCCGGGUCGACCACGAUCCAACCCUAAAUACUACUACUAGACCGAUAGCGCACAAGUACCGUGAGGGAAAGGUGAAAAGAACUGAGGUGAUCAGAGUGAAAUAGAACCUGAAACCAUUUACUUACAAUCAUUCAGAGCACUAUGUGGGUCUGUUUGAAUAUUAAAGACGGCUUGUCUUUUGAGCGUUUUUAAAUGAGUUCGUAUUUUUCUCAAUCGACAGCCUAUAUGGCUAGUCUCAAUCGAAAAAUACUUCACAACAUUUAAAUCCGUCUCAAAAUACCGCGCCUUUAGGGCGGUAUCUAUCUUGUUUUUAUAAUUUUUAUAAAUUAUCGAAUUAAAUUUAAAAUUUUAAAAGUAAAGAGAAAUAAAACUCCUAAAAUUAAAAUUUCAAACCGUAGAUUAAAUUUAAAAUUUAAAACGAACAAGAUAAGACAAUCCAAGAUUAGUAUUGAAACAGAUCCACAGUGUGAUGGACUGCCUUUUGCAUAAUGAGCCUGCGAGUUGUGGUGUCUGGCGAGGUUAAGGAAACCCGGAGCCGUAGCGAAAGCGAGUCUUAAUAGGGCGUUUAGUCAGAUGCUGCAGACCCGAAACGAUGUGAUCUAUCCAUGAGCAGGUUGAAGCCGGUGUAAGAGCCGGUGGAGGACCCAACCCGCUGGCGUUGAAAAGCCAUGGGAUGACUUGUGGAUAGGGGUGAAAGGCCAAUCAAACAUCGUGAUAGCUGGUUCUCUCCGAAAUAUAUUUAGGUAUAGCGUCAUGUAGUAACACUAGGGGGUAGAGCACUGAAUGGGCUAGGGCAUACACCAAUGUACCAAACCCUAUCAAACUCCGAAUACCUAGUGCGUAAUCAUGGCAGUCAGGCGGCGAGUGAUAAAAUCCGUCGUCGAGAGGGGAACAACCCAGACUAACAGCUAAGGUCCCUAAAUCUCAUUUAAGUGGAAAACGAUGUGAAGUUACUUAAACAACCAGGAGGUUGGCUUAGAAGCAGCCAUCCUUUAAAGAAAGCGUAAUAGCUCACUGGUCUAGUGAUUUUGCGCGGAAAAUAUAACGGGGCUAAAAUGAGUACCGAAGCUUUAGAUAGUGUCUAUGAUUAUUUAUACUAGCUUGUCUCUUUGGCAUCUUUAAAUGAGUUUGUAUUUUUCUCAAUCGACAGCCUAUAUGGCUAGUCUCAAUCGAAAAAUACUUCACAACAUUUAAAUCUGCUCAAAGAUACUUCGCUUUUUGCAUUCAAAUUUGAAUGCAACGUCUUAAUCUAAAUUUAGAAAUUUCAAAUUUCUUAGAAUUUUAAAAUUUAGCAACAAAAGCAAAAAGACAAGCCUAAGUAAAGUAUAAAUACUCAUAGACACUGUGGUAGGAGAGCGUUGCAUUCAGCGUCGAAGGUGUACCGGUAAGGAGCGCUGGAGCGAAUGCAAGUGAGCAUGCAGGCAUGAGUAGCGAUAAUUGGGGUGAGAAUCCCCAACGCCGUAAACCCAAGGUUUCCUACGCGAUGCUCGUCAUCGUAGGGUUAGCCGGGUCCUAAGCAAAGUCCGAAAGGGGUAUGCGAUGGAAAAUUGGUUAAUAUUCCAAUGCCAACUAUAAUGUGCGAUGGAAGGACGCUUAGAGUUAGAGGAGCCAGCGGAUGGUAGUGCUGGUCGAAAGGUGUAGGUUAAGAUCCAGGCAAAUCCGGAUCUUUUUAAGCCGAGACCCCACAGGCACACAAAGUUCUUCGGAACAGCGUGUGAAUCCUUGAUACUGUCGAGCCAAGAAAAGUUUCUAAGUUUAGUUAUAGUUGCCCGUACCGUAAACCGACACAGGUGGGUGGGAUGAGUAUUCUAAGGCGCGUGGAAGAACUCUCUUCAAGGAACUCUGCAAAAUAGCACCGUAUCUUCGGUAUAAGGUGUGCCUAGCUUCGUUAAGAAUUUACUUCGUAAGCGAAGAAGGUUACAACAAAGAGUCCCUCCCGACUGUUUACCAAAAACACAGCACUCUGCUAACUCGUAAGAGGAUGUAUAGGGUGUGACGCCUGCCCGGUGCUCGAAGGUUAAUUGAUGACGUUAGCUCUGCGAAGCGUUUGAUCGAAGCCCGAGUAAACGGCGGCCGUAACUAUAACGGUCCUAAGGUAGCGAAAUUCCUUGUCGGUUAAAUACCGACCUGCAUGAAUGGCGUAACGAGAUGGGAGCUGUCUCGAAGAGGGAUCCAGUGAAAUUGUAGUGGAGGUGAAAAUUCCUCCUACCCGCGGCAAGACGGAGAGACCCCGUGGACCUUUACUACAGCUUGACACUGCUACUUGGAUAAAGAUGCGCAGGAUAGGUGGGAGGCUUUGAUUCGUAGAUCUCGGUUUACGAUGAGCCAUUGUUGAGAUACCACCCUUCUUUAUUCGGGUAGCUAACUAGCCUAAGUUAUCCUUAGGUAGGACAAUGUCUGGUGGGUAGUUUGACUGGGGCGGUCGCCUCCCAAAAUGUAACGGAGGCUUACAAAGGUUGGCUCAAAGCGGUUGGAAAUCGCUUGUAGAGUAUAAAGGCAAAAGCCAGCUUAACUGCGAGACAUACACGUCGAGCAGAGACGAAAGUCGGUCUUAGUGAUCCGGUGGUUCUGUGUGGAAGGGCCAUCGCUCAAAGGAUAAAAGGUACCCCGGGGAUAACAGGCUGAUCUCCCCCAAGAGCUCACAUCGACGGGGAGGUUUGGCACCUCGAUGUCGGCUCAUCGCAUCCUGGGGCUGUAGUCGGUCCCAAGGGUUGGGCUGUUCGCCCAUUAAAGCGGUACGCGAGCUGGGUUCAGAACGUCGUGAGACAGUUCGGUCCCUAUCUGCCGUGGGCGCAAGAAGAUUGAGGAGAGUUGACCCUAGUACGAGAGGACCGGGUUGAACCGACCACUGGUGUACCAGUUAUCCUGCCAAGGGUAGCGCUGGGUAGCUAUGUCGGGAUGAGAUAACCGCUGAAAGCAUCUAAGCAGGAAGCCAACUCCAAGAUGAAUCUUCUUUUAAGAGCUCUUAUAGACUAUAAGUUUGAUAGGCCGGGUGUGUAAUGGAUGAAAGUCCUUUAGCUGACCGGUACUAAUAGCUCGUCUGCUUAUCUUU